rnacentral:ncRNA from 1 species
UCGCAAUCCGCCAACCGGUCGAGCCGUAACGCGGAAGGUUUAUCAACCAGCCAAUUCCCUGGAAGCCGGGGUGAGAGGUGAGCG